rnacentral:tRNA from 1 species
GGGAUUGCAUCCGGCCUGGUGGCCGGCACGGGCUUCAAACCCGUCGUGGGGCGGCGGAAGCCGUCCCGGGUAGGUUCGAUUCCUACGCUUUCCCGCCA